rnacentral:rRNA from 1 species
UGGGGAAUAUUGCACAAUGGGGGAAACCCUGAUGCAGCAACGCCGCGUGAGUGAAGAAGUAUUUCGGUAUGUAAAGCUCUAUCAGCAGGGAAGAAGAAAGACGGUACCUGACUAAGAAGCCCCGGCUAACUACGUGCCAGCAGCCGCGGUAAUACGUAGGGGGCAAGCGUUAUCCGGAUUUACUGGGUGUAAAGGGAGCGUAGACGGCUGUGCAAGUCUGAAGUGAAAGCCCGUGGCUCAACCGCGGAACUGCUUUGGAAACUGUAUAGCUUGAGUACUGGAGAGGCAGGCGGAAUUCCUAGUGUAGCGGUGAAAUGCGUAGAUAUUAGGAGGAACACCAGUGGCGAAGGCGGCCUGCUGGACAGAAACUGACGUUGAGGCUCGAAAGCGUGGGGAGCAA